AACACAUGCAAGUCGAACGAGAAACGGAUUUUAGUUUACUAAAAUUGUCAGCUAAGUGGCGCACGGGUGAGUAAUAUAUAGUUNACCUGCCCCAAAGAAGAGAAUAAUUGAUGGAAACGUCUUGUAACUCUCUAUAUGCCUUUAUUACAUAAGUAAGCAAGGGAAACAUUUAUGGCUUUGGGAUGGGACUGUACAGUAUCAGAUAGUUGGUGAGGUAAUGGCUCACCAAGUCAAUGACGCUUAACUGGUUUGAGAGGAUGAUCAGUCACACUGGAACUGAGACACUGCCCAGACUCCUACGGGAGGCUGCAGUCGAGGAUCAUUUGCAAUGCGCGAAAGCGUGACAAUGCGACGCUGCGUGGGGGAUGAAGGCCCUAGGGUCGUAAACCCCUGUCAUCCGGGAAAAACAGCAUGGGAGUGAAUACCUCCCGUGCCUGAUGGUACCGGAAGAGGAAGCCACGGCUAACUCUGUGCCAGCAGCCGCGGUAAUACAGAGGUGGCGAGCGUUGUUCGGAUU
rnacentral:rRNA from 1 species